UACGUAGGGGGCAAGCGUUGUCCGGAAUCAUUGGGCGUAAAGAGCGUGUAGGCGGCCCGGUAAGUCCGCUGUGAAAGUCCAGGGCUCAACCCUGGGAUGCCGGUGGAUACUGUCGGGCUCGAGUCCGGAAGAGGAGUGUGGAAUUCCUGGUGGUAGCGGUGAAAUGCGCAGAUAUCAGGAGGAACACCAAUGGCGAAGGCAGCACUCUGGGACGUGACUGACGCUGAGACGCGAAAGCGUGGGGAGCAAACAGG
rnacentral:rRNA from 1 species